rnacentral:rRNA from 1 species
CUCGAGUUUGAUCCUGGCUCAGGAUGAACGCUAGCGGCAGGCUUAACACAUGCAAGUCGAGGGGUAUUGGUUUUCGGACCAAGAGACCGGCGCACGGGUGCGUAACGCGUAUGCAAUCUACCUUUCACAGAGGGAUAGCCCAGAGAAAUUUGGAUUAAUACCUCAUAGUAUGUGAGAAUCGCAUGGUUUUACACAUUAAACGUUCCAACGGUAAAACGAUGAGCAUGCGUCCCAUUAGCUAGAUGGUAAGGUAA